GUGCAGCAGUCGCGAAACCUUCGCAAUGCGGGAAACCGCGACGAGGGGACUCCCAGUGCCUACGCUCAGCGUAGGCUGUUCCCGAGCCUAGAAAGCUCGGGGAGUAAGGGCUGGGUAAGACGGGUGCCAGCCGCCGCGGUAAUACCCGCAGCCCGAGUGGUGGCCACUAUUAUUGGGCCUAAAGCGUCCGUAGCCGGCCCGGUAAAUGCCUGGGUAAAUCGUGAGGCCUAACCUCACGAAUUCCGGGUAGACUGCCGGGCUAGGGACCGGAGGAGGGAGAGGGUACUCCAGGGGUAGGGGUGAAAUCCUGUAAUCCCUGGAGGACCACCGGUGGCGAAGGCGCUCUCCUAGGACGGGUCCGACGGUGAGGGACGAAAGCCAGGGGAGCGAACCGGAUUAGAUACCCCCGUAGU
rnacentral:rRNA from 1 species